UUGCGUAAAAAAGGCGGUGUCGCCAUCGUAAACGUAAACUACGGUAUUCUCACCGUAUACCAUGCCGCGCGCAUGCGCAUUGACUUUUAGGAGAGAAGAAAGGAAAGAGUAAAGAGGAGGAGCGGCGUCAUGCGCUCGCCUUUCGUUCCCCGCCGCUCAUGCACGCGCGUGGACGCUGCGACGACUGCUUGGCGCGCCGGCGCACCUUGUGUUACGGUACUCGCGAGAAACCGGGCAUGCGCAGAGCGGCGCAGAUACGGCAAGGAACAGCCGGCUCGGCGCCCGAUGCGUCACCAGUCUCGCCAUUUUCGAAGGCUCUGCUAUCGGCGCUGGUUUGGAAUCCGUUGGGCCACGUAUUGUACUCCCGCUGCAGGGCACUUUUGGUAUUAACCCAGACCAUGGACGCAAGGCUGAGAAAAAAAGCAAGGAAAGAGAACCCAAAAAUAUUCAGUUUGACGAAAAAAUCAUGGAUUCUGAAUGGAAUGUUUACAUUUUUGAACACCUAAAAAUGUACAAGAUAGAUCAAACUGUUACAAAUAGAUUAUGAUAAAGUUAUUUAUUGUGCCUGGAAUGGACAUAUGCCAAAUGCAGAAUCCAGGUGUGUGGAGAACUUUAAUAAAUAGCAGUAUUGCCCAUUUCCA
rnacentral:misc_RNA from 1 species